rnacentral:rRNA from 1 species
CGGACGGGUGAGUAACGCGUGAGCAACCUGCCUUUCAGAGGGGGAUAACGUUUGGAAACGAACGCUAAUACCGCAUGAGACCACAGUACUGCAUAGUACAGUGGCCAAAGGAGCAAUCCGCUGAAAGAUGGGCUCGCGUCCGAUUAGAUAGUUGGCGGGGUAACGGCCCACCAAGUCGACGAUCGGUAGCCGGACUGAGAGGUUGAACGGCCACAUUGGGACUGAGACACGGCCCAGACUCCUACGGGAGGCAGCAG